ACACUGGGGUCAGGAGUGGAGAUACUUAGGCUCCCCAGAGAAAUUAGUCACAAGUCUUAUCCCUUCAUCUCCAUUUACAGCCAUUUAUUUGGGAGCAACAUACUUUAAAUGAGUGAUAAACAAAAUGUCUCCCCACAGCCCCCACCCCAGCAUGUGUUCUGAAGUUCACAGGAAGGCUUCUCCUCAUUUGCUUUGGGGCCCGCAGGCUGCCUGCUAACAGCUGGGUCUUCCCAUGAACAAAUUAGACAGUUAAUGUUCCAGGAUGAAGAGGGCUUCGGGGAACAGAAUCUGCCGUUUAUUUGACUUGCUUCAUUAGACACAGUGCCAUCAUACCAAAAUUAGAAAAAAGAAGGAACUCAGCGGAAAUCAGCUACACAAGAAGAACCUCUCAGUUCUGAGAAUUCACAUUAACCAGUGAUUAAGAAAUAUUAAAAAGGUAUAGUUCUUGGCUGUGCUGAGGAUCUGUAAGGCACCAGAUGUGAAAGUAAGGAAGAAAGAUGGAUGUGGAAGAAAGUCACUGCCCAGAGAAUAAGGAGACCUGGAUUCUAAUCUCAGCUCUGCCAUUAACUAGCUGUGAGACUCAAGAAUAACUAAUCAUUUUGAUAACUCGUUUUUUUACUUUUUAAAAUGAGGAGCCAAGUUUAGACAAUGAGCUCGGCUCUUCACCAGUGAUAAAGUGUCUGGGACAUGCUUCCAUUCAAGCAAUGCUCUUCCUUCUUGUCUAUACUUUAUCCAAGAAAGAAUAAAUCAUUUCCAAAUAUUUUCAAAGGUAAUAGAAAUCCAAAA
rnacentral:lncRNA from 1 species